UACGGGGGGGGUAAGCGUUGUUCGGAAUUACUGGGCGUAAAGGGCUCGUAGGCGGCCAACUAAGUCAGACGUGAAAUCCCUCAGCUUAACUGGGGAACUGCGUCUGAUACUGGAUGGCUUGGAUCGGGAGAGGAAUGCGGAAUUCCAGGUGUAGCGGUGAAAUGCGUAGAUAUCUGGAGGAACACCGGUGGCGAAGGCGGGUCUCUGGGCAGUAACUGACGCUGAGGAGCGAAAGCAUGGGGAGCGAACAGG
rnacentral:rRNA from 1 species